rnacentral:rRNA from 1 species
AUUGAACGCUGGCGGCAGGCAUAACACAUGCAAGUCGAGCGGAGCGGCGGACGGGUGAGUAAUGCCUAGGAAUCUGCCUGGUAGUGGGGGAUAAGGUACGGAAACGGGCGCUAAUACCGCAUACUAUCAGAUGAGGCUAGGUCGGAUUAGGGAGUUGGUGGGGUAAAGGCCUACCAAGGCGACGACCAGUAACUGGGGUGAGAGGAUGAUCAGUCACCCUGGCACUGAGACACGGUCCAGACUCCUACGGGAGGCAGCAGUGGGGAAUUUUGGACAAUGGGCGAAAGCCUGAUCCAGCCAUGCCGCGUGUGUUAAGAAGGUCUUCGGAUUGUAAAGCACUUUAAGUUGAGAGGCGUUACCAACAGAAUAAGCACCGGCUAACUUCGUGCCAGCAGCCGCGGUAAUAC